UACGUAGGGGGCUAGCGUUGUCCGGAAUCAUUGGGCGUAAAGAGCGUGUAGGCGGUCCGGUAAGUCCGCUGUGAAAGUCGGGGGCUCAACCCUCGAAUGCCGGUGGAUACUGUCGGGCUCGAGUUCGGAAGAGGUGAGUGGAAUUCCUGGUGUAGCGGUGAAAUGCGCAGAUAUCGGGAAGAACACCCGUGGCGAAGGCGGCUCUCGUCGGGAGCCGGUACUGACGCUGA
rnacentral:rRNA from 1 species